GAUGAACGCUGGCGGCGUGCCUAAUACAUGCAAGUCGAGCGAACAGACGAGGAGCUUGCUCCUCUGACGUUAGCGGCGGACGGGUGAGUAACACGUGGAUAACCUACCUAUAAGACUGGGAUAACUUCGGGAAACCGGAGCUAAUACCGGAUAAUAUAUUGAACCGCAUGGUUCAAUAGUGAAAGACGGUUUUGCUGUCACUUAUAGAUGGAUCCGCGCCGCAUUAGCUAGUUGGUAAGGUAACGGCUUACCAAGGCAACGAUGCGUAGCCGACCUGAUAGGGUGAUCGGCCACACUGGAACUGAGACACGGUCCAGACUCAUACGGGAGGCAGCAGUAGGGAAGCUUCCGCAGUGGGCGAAAGCCUGACGGAGCAACGCCGCGUGAGUGAUGAAGGUCUUCGGAUCGUAAAACUCUGUUAUUAGGGAAGAACAAAUGUGUAAGUAACUAUGCACGUCUUGACGGUACCUAAUCAGAAAGCCACGGCUAACUACGU
rnacentral:rRNA from 1 species